rnacentral:rRNA from 1 species
AUGAACGCUGGCGGCGUGCCUAAUACAUGCCAGUCGAGCGAACAGACGAGGAGCUUGCUCCUCUGACGUUAGCGGCGGACGGGUGAGUAACACGUGGAUAACCUACCUAUAAGACUGGGAUAACUUCGGGAAACCGGAGCUAAUACCGGAUAAUAUAUUGAACCGCAUGGUUCAAUAGUGAAAGACGGUUUUGCUGUCACUUAUAGAUGGAUCCGCGCCGCAUUAGCUGGUUGGUAAGGUAACGGCUUACCAAGGCAACGAUGCGUAGCCGACCUGAGAGGGUGAUCGGCCACACUGGAACUGAGACACGGUCCAGACUCCUACGGGAGGCAGCAGUAGGGAAUCUUCCGCAAUGGGCGAAAGCCUGACGGAGCAACGCCGCGUGAGUGAUGAAGGUCUUCGGAUCGUAAAACUCUGUUAUUAGGGAAGAACAAAUGUGUAAGUAACUAUGCACGUCUUGACGGUACCUAAUCAGAAAGCCACGGCUAACUACGUG